AAAAAUCGGAUUGGGGAAUGUUUUGCAAUUACUUGCACUAACAGAAUUUAAUAUUAUUGGUGCUACUUUUUAUAUUUGUACUUACAUUUUCAUAUUUGAUUAAUUUAAGCUAUUAUUAAUAGUACCAAAUUAUUAACAAUUUCAGCCACUCUGCUAAUAACAAUGCUACUUUGCUUAUUUGAUUUAAAAAUAAUCAAAUAUAGUAAAUUAUAUUCUCCUAUUUUUCUAGAAGGAAUUAAAUGCAUGUCACCAAAUAAUGGUCAAAAAACAAAUAAACCACUAAAGAAACCUAUCUUCAACAAACAGAACCAAGAAAAAUUUAAGGAAAAAAAACCAACCAACACUCAACAAGAAAACACAGCAGUGUCCCUACAACCACCGUUUAGCACCCUCAGAUCAGUAGCAUUCAGCGAUUCACGAUGGCCUCUGUAGCUCUGAACCGUCGGAGAGCUCUAUGAUCAUCUUCUCUGACCCAUUCAACUUUCCCACCUCAGAUUUCUUCCGUCUCUUUCGGCCUCUUUUUCAACCCUCGGCGGCGCCUCUUCAAUCCAUACCCUCUGCGACGACCACCAUUUCUCUUCCACCGCCAAGGUAUGCGCUACUUGAUUCCCUGAUCUACCCACAGAUCUAAAGCGACUGAACUUUUUUACGACAGUCAAGGAAUCCCCCUCCACCACUAAUCUUCGAAAGCCCAAUUCCUCAGCUACUGCCACCGCUUGCAAACAGGCUCUCGCUUCUGUCGUAGUUGGGUUGGCCACAAAAUUAUUUGGGUACGUACAUGCUGCCAAUAUAUGCCCCUCACUAUCUCUAAAAAUUAUCCCUGCCACCGAGCUAUAUAGUCUUGCCUAUUAAACGAAGCAGCAAAGUUAUCUUUAACCACAUUCAUUGUUGGUGGAUUCCAUGCAUUAUCAUUCUGCAUAAUAUUGGUUGCUAUUGCUGUUUCAACAUUGCUAGUUGGUGGAAACAAGGCCAAAUACACUUUGCCUUUCACCCUGAUAAUAAAUCUUAUUUCUAUGCGGCCAUACUGCCCAGAAAAUAAUAACUAACCAUUUACAUUGUUCUUCCACCAUUAUUAACAAAUAAAGUUACUAACCAUGUUUCCCUACUUUGUCCUGAGUCAAUGGAUGAGACAUCGAAACCCACCCCCUGCAGGACACGUUUGGUGAACCGACAGUUCCGGAAAAUAUGACACACCGACUCUUCCAGCAGGCGACAGAAAGGGCAGCAAUUCACUACCGUCAACUUUCUCCUCUGUAAAUUGUCAAGCGUGGCACUGUAAUUGUUUAUCAAUUUCCAGACUGUAAUUUUUAUUUUACUUGCAAUUCUUUGUUUACACAGCUUGUUGUAAAAAUUCUGUAACAGCACUUCCUGCUGUACCCUCUCCCCAUCAAGCGGCCAUUUACACCCACUCCUUGCUGAAUAGACUCCCGUGUCAUGUUUUUGCUCA